UACGUAGGGUGCAAGCGUUGUUCGGAAUUACUGGGCGUAAAGGGCUCGUAGGUGGCCAACUAAGUCAGACGUGAAAUCCCUCGGCUUAACCGGGGAACUGCGUCUGAUACUGGAUGGCUUGAGUUUGGGAGAGGGACGCGGAAUUCCAGGUGUAGCGGUGAAAUGCGUAGAUAUCAGGAGGAACACCGAUGGCGAAGGCAGGUCUCUGGGCAUUAACUGACGCUGAGGAGCGAAAGCAUGGGGAGCGAACAGG
rnacentral:rRNA from 1 species